GUUUAUCACAUCUCUCCUGAACAUCAGAAAUGCCUGUUUUCAUUUUUGCCCUUUCUGUGGCUGCCCUUUUCCCCACUGUGUGCGUCACUUCUCUGCAUGUCUCCCCUGACGCUGGUCUUCCUUUCAAACUGAAGCAUUUUGCCAUGAUGCCCUUUGCUGCCUCACUUCAAAUGUCUGCCCCCUCCUCCGUCUUUACUUUUCCCCAAGGCCCUGGACUUGCUUUCUUUGGAGGCAGUGCCUACCCACUCUUUCUUUCCACAGCUUUGGCCAGCUGGCCCCAGAAAUCAAUCAGUGGCCCAUCAGAGACCAGGCUAGCAGCUGUCACUCCCACCAUGGAAUUUAGAACUGUGAGAAUGGCCCUGGAAGGAAAGCUGCUGCUUAUUU
ensembl:lncRNA